CCCUCUGUGGACUUUUCGGUGAAAAUUAACAUUUUGCAUGCGGGUUUUUUGAACUCAAUGCAUUAUUUUUGACUUAGUCGACGACGACUAAACAAGCUCUUCAAAAUGUCCAUAGACAGCGGUUGGUUCCUUAAUUAAUAAAAAAGAAACAUUUAAAAUGAACAAAUAAUUAAAAAAUUUUGAUUAUUUCGUACCAAAAGCUUUCAGCCAGUUUUUAAAUAGUUUGAUAAAUUCCUGGCUUCCUUGUUAUUAAAAUGAUGUGGAUUCGAGGCAUUUUGAGAAAAUUUUGAAUCGAAAAAUUGUUUGAGUUAUGUCGACCCUCACCAGAUGCACUAUGCAUAUACAGGGUGAUAAAGAUGAUAAUUGCAAAAUAUCGUCGGGUAGAGAUGAUCGCUGAUCGUGAUCGCUCAAAACACACUUAAAAUGAACAAAAAAUGUGGACAAUUUUGGAUGUGAAUCUUUAAGCAAGUUCCUAAAUCAGGUUUUUGCAUUCGUCGCUUCCUGGUCAUAAAAAUUAUGUGAAAUUUGAGUUAUUUGGAGAAAAUUGCAACUUGAAAAUAAAUCGACUUUGAUAAUGAAACUUUGAAAUGCGGGAUAUUUGAGCUCAAUGAAUUGUUUCCGAUUUGAGAAGCUUGCCAAUAUGUAUUCGAAAUGUCUUCGGAUAAAGAUUUUGCUCACUUAAAACAAACUUAAAAUGAAAAAAAAAUCCGAUUUUUUUGGAUCUCAAACUUUUAGUGUGUUUUUAAAACAGUUCAUUGCGUUUUUUGUUUCCAACUGAUUAAAAUGAUGUGCAGUUUAAAUCAACCUACACCUCUCAAACUUUUAUUUUCCUUGAAGUCUUAGUUUUUGCAUCCUUUAAAUUCCUAUUGGCACAUGGCCAUGUGCUGAUUUUUUAUUUCUUCCAACUUACUUUCGGUCUCUUUCUUCGAAAAUCUUCGAAAUAAUUUAAUGUUUCUAUUUUUUUCGCCUUGACCAACCUGUUUAUAGUAUAGUUAAGGUAAUAGAUGGAUCUAUAAAGGUUUCUUCUCCUAAAUUCAGACAGUUGAUUUGUCUGUUCCGUUAAAUAACUUGUUGGAAAUGAAAAUUGUUAUGUUAUUAAUUUGCUUUGCUCUGUUUGUGACAAUGCCAGAAGCCAAAAAAAGAAAGCCUACAGCGACUACCGGACCCGAACAUUUGCUCACUUCGUCUGAGACAUCGAUGUUACCAGUUGUGACAACGUUCUAUCCUCUACAUAAGAGUUUCGAAGUAUUUACCAGCAAACCGAUUGCCUGCCUUAACACGACUCAACGACGAGACAGCAAUGGGAAAUGCCACGACAUCGAUAAAUAGCUCAAGAAAACGCGACAAAUAUAGAAUUGUUGGAGUGUAUAUAAAAAUUGAGUUAAAAAG